ACUUCUUACUUACCUUCCUUCAUUUUUUUAUGAUUUGUGUAUUUGUUUAUUUGGAUUAUUGUAUUAAUUGAUUUGUGUUAUCUAAUCAAUACCACCAAUAAAUAUAGAAUGAUUAGACUAAUAACAAAUGCUUACAUGCAUCAUAUUUGAUUUGUUUGACUGUUGAAUCAUGGGGUUCUUGGUUGUUGUUGGUUCCUCACAAUCUUUUUUGAUUCAAUUAACUUUAUGUGCUAAGAUAAUUAAGUUUGUUCGUAUAAAUCAGGAAUCUUGAAAUUGGGUUGCUAGUGGUUCCUGGGAUUGUGUUGAAAUUUGGAGGAAAAAAGUUAUGUUUUUUUUGGCUGAGCAAUUUGAUGUGUGGUCUGAUUUGAGCUUGUAAGUUCUCUCUUUUAAAUAAAGUUUGAAUCUUUAUUAUUCUUUCUAUGUUGUAUCUCUGUCUUGUUUCAAAGAAGCAGUGACCACUAUACAUUAAAGACCUGAUUUGUUGUUUUCCAAUUAAUUGGGUAUAUAAUUGGUGAUAAAAAAUCGAUUCUUGGUUAUUGAAUUGAGGCUUUGGGAUAAAGAAGGAUCGAAUUGGAAUAGAAGUGUACAAAGAUGCUGAAUAAGGUCUAAUAAUUCUAGCAUAUAUUUUAUGGAUAGUGAUUCCCCUUGAAACAGAAGUUUGGACUUUGGAUCCAUAUUCUCUCUUAUGUCAUAGAUUACCUGUUUGAACUAAGCUUCUUUUUCAGCUCCCUUGUUUCUCUUCUAAGGGAGAAUAAGUGACUUAUUUUGGCUUUUGAAACCAUUUUUUGGCUUUUUUAUUAGUUUAUUUUAGGGGUUUGAAAUUUGGAUUAGUGCUAAGAGAAGAAGGGUAGUGAUGGAAGAGAUGUUACCAACACUUGCUGUAUCAUAUAAACAGGGAAAAUUGAUAUAUGAUGAAUCAGUACUACCCACUCGUAUGGACUUCAGCGGAUAUGAGCUGGUACCAAACACAAAGUGCAAGCUUCCUUCGGUGUCCGUUGCUAAUCAGAAUACUAGGGUGCCACGGGAUAACGCUAACCUUAUGACAGUUGCCGAUUGCCAUGAAAUCAGGAAAGGGAACAAUUUUUCAUCGACAGUGAUAGCGACUGGAAAUUGUUUGGUAACUACUGAUGCAAAUGAUAGAUCUAGGGACAAUAAUUUGAUUUCAUCAACUGAUGAGCUAUUAGGAAAUAUGACUUGUUCUAAUUCUCUAGUGGAUGAGCGUGGCGGCACGUUUGGAGAUGAAGACAAGAAGGUUGGUGUAUCCCAGAAUCUAAGGAAGUCUUAUUCAUGUGAUUUGGCUAAUGUGUUGGUUAAUGAGUCAGAAUUUGUAAGUGAUCUUGUUUCCACUGGAAUGAACGGUGUGGUUGUGGGUGCUGAAGAUUAUAAAAGAAAAUUACCACCAUCCCUCCUUGAGAGUUCAAAUGAGAUGAAGAUAAGUAGGCCAAAUGUCUUUGGUUUUGAUUCUGUGCCGCUUUGGGGGCUCACCACGAUACAAGGAAAGAGGCCGGAGAUGGAAGAUGCAGCAGUAGCUUUACCAAGGUUUCUGAGAAUCCCAUCUCAAAUGUUGAUGGAUCUGCCAGUUUCUCAUGCCCAGAAUCAAGCACUAACGGCCCAUUUAUUUGGGGUUUAUGAUGGACAUGGAGGCUCUCAGGUUGCUAAUUAUUGUCGUGAGCGUAUCCAUAUGGCUUUAGCACAGGAGAUAGAUAUUGCGAAAGAGGAUUCACAUAAUAAUGGAAGUGUUAACUGGAAGGAGCAAUGGUCAAAGGCUUUCUUGAAUUGUUUCUGUAGAGUUGAUGAUGAGGUGCGAGGGUUCGGUAGUGAAACAGACGGUAUUGAGCCUGACCUUGCACCUAUUGCUCCGAAGCAGUUGGAUCUACAGCUGUAGUUGCUGUUGUUAGUCCAACCCAUAUUAUUGUUGCAAAUUGUGGUGAUUCAAGGGCAGUCCUUUGUCGGGGGAAAUUACCCAUGCCGUUGUCCAUUGAUCAUAAACCAAAUAGAGAAGAUGAGUGUUCGCGAAUAGAAGCAUUGGGAGGGAAGGUCAUUAAUUGGGAUGGACAUCGUGUUUCUGGUGUUCUUGCAGUUUCAAGGUCGAUUGGUGAUAGAUAUUUAAGGCCUUAUGUGAUUCCAGAUCCAGAAAUGAUGUUUGUACCCCGAGUAAAAGAUGACGACUGUCUUAUUUUAGCAAGUGACGGUCUUUGGGAUGUCUUGACAAAUGAAGAAGCUUGUGAGGUGGCAAGGAGACGAAUUCUUCUCUGGCACAAAAAGAAUGGUGGUACUUUGACUAACGAAAGGGGUGAAAACGUCGAUCCUGCUGCUCAGGAUGCUGCAGAGUACUUGACACGACUUGCUCUCCAAAAGGGCAGCAGAGACAAUAUAUCUGUGAUUGUGGUCGACUUGAAGGUGCAGAGGAAAUUCAAGAAGAAAACGUAGCACUAAACCAUCCUCGUUAGUUUCCAUUUCAUUUUGUGGACGUAGCACUGGUAAGCUACAACCCACCAUGUUAAUCGAAUUAAAUAGUAUUACUGCAAACUGUAGCUAUCUUUUAGGCUGGCUCCGUACAGGAUUAGCGAAUCGCACUUAAUAUUACUAAUGUUGGAGUAAACUACGAUGAAAGUUGUUCUGACAAUAAAAAUUCAGCAAAGUUGGUUCAAAGAACAACUACUGACUUCCAGCAGACCAUUUAUCUUCCUGCAGUGUAAUGUGCUUCAUGUCUAUAUAACCAGACAGGUAAAAGUGUUGUUGAGGUAA